ACCUCUUCCACCGUCACAACUCACAAAGCUCUUCAGUUCUUCACCUCUUAUGUUCUUCUCAACGUCGGCCUACUCUACGACCUAAUAGCAACCUUUGGAAGGUUUCUUCCGUUUCUAGCCAAGCCAACCUCCUAAUCUCAGUAGAGCCAAGCAAAAGUUUAUUCGUACUUUUCCUGUUUACCAUUUUUCAUGAUCCUCACCCUAGUUUUUUCGAGGGUUAUGAAAUUGCAAAAGGGGGUAAACUACAAAUCUAAAAAAGGCUUGUCGUCUGAGUCUGAAUUGCUGUUGGAAAUCAUACAGGUUGUUUGAACUUUCUAUCUUUUUGGUUCAAAGGACUCAUCUGCUUCUUCAUCUUCUAGGAUUUUCGGCUCUAUCUUUGCACCUUCGUCUCAGCUUGCAAACAGAAUUAUGGACACUUCUGAGGCACCAAUGCGUAGAAUAUUAAGGUCCAGCGUGGCUCAAACUCGAACUGAGACACCAUUUAUAAGUUUAGCUGCCACACAACCGAGGGGAGAAGCUGAUGGUAGUAAUUCAAUAAGUCAACAGCCUAUUAUGGAAGGUGUUGGUAAUACUUUGCAGACGAGGCCACAACUAAGUAGAGGCCCAGUACGAAAAGGGCAUGGAAAAGUAAAGAAUAUAGCCCUACACAAAGCUAAGGAACUCUAUGGAAAGGAUGUUCCAAUUCCGGUAGAGUUUGGGACGGGUUAUAUUAAACCCGUUGGCAAAAUCACAAUUUAUGAACGGCUGAGGUUGGCAUCCAUGAGAGAGAUAAAGAAGCGCUAUUGAAAUAUAAAACGUGGAGGGAAAUUCCAGAUUAUGAGAGACAGGUCUGCUAUGACCAUUUUAAGGUGACCUUUGGAGUGGAUGCACAUGACAAUGAAACUGAUUUCAAGCGAGUAACUACGGAAAUAUCGGAACGUUUGAGGAAAUAUAGAUAUUGUGACGACCCUGGUUUUUAGGCCAGCGUGUCCUGUGAUGAACCGUAAGGAUGAUCCGAUAACGGAUCCGAAUGCGGAAGCAAAAACAGAAAACAAGACUCUAAGAAGACAAAGUGACCUUCCAUAAGGUCGUGAAACUCAA